rnacentral:lncRNA from 10 species
AGAGGCGGGGGCGCCGCUUCGGGAGAGCGGGCAGUUCUAGGAGGCCGACCUGGAGAGCCUCCCGGUUCCCCUUCCCCUUUUCCCGGACCCCGCGGGGACACCCCCUCGCCGCCACCCGGGCCUCCCCGAGGGCCCAACUGCGGGUCAGGCGGCCCGGGCCAGCCGAAAGGGAAGUGGGGCUACCCCACAGCCAGGCAGCGGGGCUGGGGUCAGACCCGGGAGCCGGAGGUUGGAGACGUGCGACAGUCACCUGCGGGCAGAUUCCAGAGGGGAGACCCAGGGCUGCAGGGGACGCCCCUUCGUGGCAGCUACCCAGCCUCGGCCCACUGCCAGGUUCUUUGCCAACCCUGACGCGAGUGUGGAGCCCCCCUCCCCUCCCCUAUGAAAACGCUUUCAUGCACUGGGGUCUGCAAACCUGGUUGGUCCGGUGUGGGUUGGGCCAGGUGCUCUCGGCCGGGCUGGAGAGCUCGAGGUGGAACGAUGGCCCCAACCUACGGCCCGCGUCCGCCAGAGGGCGCCCUGGGGUCUCCUAGGGGAGGGCAGUUUGGUGCUGCGCGGCCCAGGCCUUGGAAUAGGCACGCCAGGGAUCUGCGGGAAUGGCUGUCUCCGGAGCUGGAAAGGUGGCCGAGAAGGGGGCAUUCACACCCCAGGCUGGGGUCAGACCUGGGAAUAAAAUUCUAGCAGGAGAGAAUUUCCGGAAAGCAGUUUUCCGGGGUUCAGGCUACUGCCAGAUGGCCCACACCCCCUGGAAUGUGACCCCCUGCCUCUCUUGGGGUGGGGGAGGACUUGAUCACUGGCGGGGAGGGGGUAGAGGGGAGGAGAGGAAGUGAUUGAGGUGAAAGAUUGGUUUGCUGCUGGUCACGUUGGCACUGACGUAGAUAGUUUGGGCUUGGAGACCCGGGGCCAGCCUUAUGAAGGAUGGCAAGUUUUGUCAUCUUGUCCCCAAAUGGGCUGUGUGGUGCUGGGGACACCCGAGAGCUGCCUCAGUGGCAUUUAGAUUUUCACCUCUCGGGAUGCAGACGCUGUGGGCCUGGGGCCCUGCGCUCUUCCUAGAUACCAGGAUAAUGAGGUGCUGAAAGGGAAGGAAGAGACUGCCGCCAGGGACAGGGAGCUUGGGAUGCCAGAACCCAGAACUGGCCCUUUUGCCGGCCCUGGAAUUGAUAGG